UACGUAGGGAGCGAGCGUUGUCCGGAAUUACUGGGCGUAAAGGGCUUGUAGGUGGUUUGUCGCGUUGUUCGUGAAAACUCAAGGCUUAACUUUGGGCGUGCGGGCGAUACGGGCAGACUGGAGUACUGCAGGGGAGACUGGAAUUCCUGGUGUAGCGGUGGAAUGCGCAGAUAUCAGGAGGAACACCGGUGGCGAAGGCGGGUCUCUGGGCAGUAACUGACGCUGAGGAGCGAAAGCGUGGGGAGCGAACAGG
rnacentral:rRNA from 1 species